AGGAAUCCACUUCUGUGGCGGUCAUGAAGCCCAAGCUGGGUUAAUAGUGACUCCUGGAGGGAGCGGAGAAGAGAGUAAGGAAACAGCCUGAAAUCAAAGUGAACCAAGAAAAUUAAAUGUGGUUAUACCUGCAAGUUGCAUC